CGUGUAGGCGGCUAUCUAAGUCUGAUGUGAAAGCCCUGGGCUCAACUCAGGAAGUGCAUUGGAUACUGGAUAGCUGGAGUACCGGAGAGGAGGGUGGAAUUCCUGGUGUAGCGGUGAAAUGCGUAGAUAUCAGGAGGAACACCGGUGGCGAAGGCGUCCCUCUGGCCGGAUACUGACGCUGAGACGCGAAGCGUGGGAGCAAACA
rnacentral:rRNA from 1 species